rnacentral:sRNA from 1 species
CAUGAAGUAAUGGAAUGCGUAUUUGGAACGGAAAGUGAGAUCUGAACGACUGAUUUGCUGGAAUGAAUGUAUGAACGUUAAGGAAUUUCACAAAAUUAAAUUUUGUGAAGAUUUUAAACCAGUCUUAACCUUAUCACAUGUACAAAAAAGAUGCAGCUGUUUGUCGCCAUUCUUCUCAUCUCUUUUGCAAAAGGGGUUGCUGGUCAGUUGAGUUUUUGCGCUCAGUCUUCCUCGCCUCUUCCGGUGGCCACCAUGUGCAAACCGACUUCAAUCUUCGGUAAUCACGUUGUGAUUGACGUCACUGAAGCAGGGGAGAGAAUGGUGGAUGGUAUCAAUGUUUGUACCUGUUACCUCACCCCUGUUAUAACCAAAGAGAAAGCUAGACUUUACGUACUCAAACAGAGUUCCCUGGAACCUGGUUAUAAUGGCUGUGGAUCUAGAAUCGAUGUUAUCAUCGACAGUACGCAAGAAUCUGGAAUGAAUCGAAAUGUGUGUUUUUUGAAUGGAAAUGUGGAGCUAAAAAAUAACACUGUUGGAAAUAUCUCAUUUGUUAAAGAGUUUUAUCCAAACGACGACAGAUACUGCAUUGGCCUGCGAUCAGAUGAUUCUAGUGCCCGGUUACAAGUACAAUGCUUUGCUCCAGGAGAGGAAACGUCUUUUCUGACAUCCUUAGCACCAGUUUCUACCACCAAGGAAACAGUUGAGUCCAUUAGAACAUCAACGAAAGAAAUUUACAAUUUACCAACACAGUCAGCUACAAAUAUUGCUCAAAAUCUGAAGACAACGUUGUCCGUCACAAUGGCAGAAAAAAUACCUACUGAAAUGUCAACCCAAUCAUCAACAACUGCAUCUCCUGAACCAACAUCCACAUUUCCAUCAGAAGCUGCAUCACCAAAUCCAAUAACACCAUUGACAACUUCUUUACCUGGAACAACUCAAACAACAGCGUUUUUUACCACUGAGAUAACAACUAAGUCCAUUGGAACACUAGGUAAAGAAACACAAAGUUCACAAAAACAACCAUCUACAACGAUUGGUCAUCUUCCAAAGACAACGCCUGUCACAAAUAAAGAGCAAUUGGAUACAGGUAGUGAAAAUGCAGCGAUCAUUGCAACAAGUGUAAUACUUCCUGUGAUAUUUUUCGUUCUGUUAGUAUUGGCUCUGAUGAUUUUUCUACGACGAAAAAGACGAAAUUCUUCUCAAAAUACAAGUAAGCAAAUGUAUAUACCUUCUGUUGACAAACUUGUGCAAGAGUCAGCAAAAGAAAAUAGAGAAAUUCUCAAUGUUUGCCAUUCCAAGAAAGACAGUAUCUACGAUACUAUUGAAGAUGAAGAAGGCUACCUAAAGAGUUUCCCUGUAAGAAAAAUUUGUAAUCUACCAUAUACAAAAUCCCCCACUUCGCUUGUUCCAUCUAAGGAAGAGGAUGAAAAUAUCAGCAAUGCAUAUUUAUUUAUUUUGGAAUAACUUGGCGCAGUCUUAUAAUGUUUGAAAAAUAUUUUGUUUUAUUGGGAGUCAGUUUCCAAGUUGCAAUAAGUGAAAUGAAAAUUACAGAAUUUGAUAAGAGGUUAAAUUUUAGUUAUUUUAUUAAUGAAUCUUUUUAUGUGAAUAGU